CAAGAAAAGGUCAGGAUAGCUCAGUUGGUAGAGCAGAGGACUGAA
rnacentral:tRNA from 2 species